GACCGCGUCGCAGAUCGCCGGCCACAAUCCGGCGAUCGCCGAUUCCCAGUGU
rnacentral:sRNA from 1 species